rnacentral:rRNA from 1 species
AGAGUUUGAUCAUGGCUCAGGAUGAACGCUAGCUACAGGCUUAACACAUGCAAGUCGAGGGGAAACGACAUCGAAAGCUUGCUUUUGAUGGGCGUCGACCGGCGCACGGGUGAGUAACGCGUAUCCAACCUGCCCAUCACUUGGGGAUAACCUUGCGAAAGUAAGACUAAUACCCAAUGACGUCUCUAGAAGACAUCUGAAAGAGAUUAAAGAUUUAUCGGUGAUGGAUGGGGAUGCGUCUGAUUAGCUUGUUGGCGGGGUAACGGCCACCAAGGCGACGAUCAGCGAGGGGUUCUGAGAGGAAGGUCCCCCCANAUUGGAACUGAGACACGGUCCAAACUCCGUACGGAGCA